rnacentral:rRNA from 1 species
GACCUCAGAUCAGACGAGACGACCCGCUGAAUUUAAGCAUAUUACUAAGCGGAGGAAAAGAAACUAACCAGGAUUCCCUCAGUAGCGGCGAGCGAAGAGGGA